ACCAUUCAGUGGUGUUCAAAGAAAAACUUUUGAUUUUUCUGAUAGAAAUUCUUCUGGCUCAAAUGAGACAGCUGGAACUUCAGUAUCAAUUGAUUCUUUCAAGCAGCGAGCCUUGGCAGGUGCAGGGAAUAUUGCGUCAUUACCUGCUUUUCCCGGAUCAAGGUUGCCGUCACAGAAAGGUUUUGUAUCGGAGCCUUUGAAGCCUGCGGGUGCAGGGAAUAUUGAGUCAUUACCUGUUUUUCCCGGCUCAAGGUUGCCGUCACAGAAAGAUUUUGUAUCGGAGCCUUUGAAGCCUCACUUGACCAGGGAGACUUGUGAGGGAAUUCCAUCAAAGCAAUUCCGCG
rnacentral:lncRNA from 1 species